rnacentral:lncRNA from 1 species
GUGACGGCGCCGCUGCCGCGAACAACAGGCGGCACAGAGCAGCGCUGCCGGGGAGCAUAUCUCGAUCUCCAUCUGACAUGUGGGGUCAUAAAAGAAAAUUGUGAAUGGAUUUUAGCAAAUGAGAAAAUGGGUGGAAGUGGCAUGGAAAGAAGUAAAUCCCGCUGCUCGCCUGCUCGGCAGCGGUAAAAUCUGAAGAUAAGACCAAUUGAGAGGUAAAUGUUGAAGGCGGUGAAAAUUGGAUUAUAUAUUGUGAAAUUUCUCGCUCGCGGGAGGAGUCGUCGUGUCGGUGACCGACCUGGUCCGGACCGGCGGCGAUGGGGGCGAGACGGAGGAGAGGAGAGAUUUUCAUCUCCAGUUCCGGUCAUCGUGUUCGCUUGAGGUGCCGCCGCAGAGUCUUAUUCUCCGGGCCACCGUCCACCGCCGCCGGGGCAGUCCUAGGUCGAUCGGCGGACGGAGCCGCAUUGCCGAUGACUGAAGCACGCCGCCGCGAUCCAUCCCCGUCAAUCAGUCAGGUGCACCCCCCGCCCCCCCCUCCUCAGCCAUUCGCCACACCCACGCACAGACGACCCCUACCAUGCCGUUGCCGCCGAUUGGAAACCCUAGUUUGGAUAUGGGCCGGCUUUACUUUGUCGAUGAGACGAAAACGAUGCAGGUUAGCAUGAUUCUCAGUUUACUUAGUUUGAAUGUUUGAUUUGCGGUUAUCUGCAACUUAGUGUAGGAUGGAUGUAGUUGGGUUUGUAGUUCCUAACCCUGUCAGAAAUUGCUUCAAAAAAUCCACAGAGCACAUGUGGGGAUUUGUUUGUCCAGGACACAACUCUGACUACUAUUAUGCAUGAUCCUUGGAAUCGUCGCUAAUCGAUGCAGGGCUUUCCGCAACCCAAAUUGAUGAUUUUAUUGAUGGUUUUGGCCUUUUGGGUUCUUAUCUUGAGAUAUAAGGAGUUAAAGGAGGUUAGAGCAGGUUAGUUAAACACACAUUUGUGUACAAGGUUUGGCAAACUUAAGGAACAUAUGGCGUAUAAUGCGAGCCAAAAAUGUCUGCUCUAGUGAAGCUGGUGCUCGAUCAUAGUGUGACCAGUUGCUCAGUCAGACACGAAAUGGAAACUGCUUCUCUUGAACAAGCAUUGUAGCAACCACGUACCGUAACUUCUUUUAUGGUUUGCUGCUGCUGCUUGCUUAAUAGGACGCUUCUGGAAAUUUCUGAAUUUGUAGGUAAUAAUGCUUGGGGGUGUAACUGACUGUACUAAAAUUACCUAUGAAUAAAAAUCAAACUAGAAUAAAACAGGCCAGGUCAUGAGCCAUUUGCUCUACCUGACUGCAAGGUUAACCAUGAGUAUUUUACACACCUUGACCCAAAACACACACACACACACAGAACAAACAAUCCUGAGCACCCAUCUUAAUAAUCUCCUCACAGGAGGGAGGGCAAGACCACAAGAGUACAGCUAAUCUGAAUGCACAAGGAGAUACUAGAAUAUAUAAAAACAAUUAAACUAUAUAAAUCACACAGUAGCAUCAUACACACUAUUGUUAUUCAAAUCCAAAGGGUUUAACAUUUGCAGUGACCAAUACAAUCACAAUCCACACACAACAAUAUACUUAGUUUGGUUCACUAGAAAUUCUCAAUCGCACACCAUGUUCAAACAGCAACCACACUUCCACACUGGUCACAAUCAGCAGCAAAACAAAUACAAAUUGUCUGGAUGAAAUGAAGGGUUGGAAAUAUACCAAAACUCCUCGCAGAAAAAAAAAAUAUUAGUGAAUAUGUAGUGGAAGCAGAGCUCAUGCACCAGGGGAGUUGAGGAUGUAGGAGGAUUAAUUAGCCACCAUGCUUGCUAACUUCCUGAAUUUCUCCACCACCAUCCUCAAGGUCACCAGCAAGUUGGCGGCUGGUGGACCAGAGGUGGAUAUUGUGAACUUGGGCAUCUGAUGGUCCAGUCGUCUCUUGACUUUCUGCGGCAGGUUGCUGGGUGGUUUGCUCAGAUGGUCCAGGAACCAAAUCUGACGGUGCCACAUCCCACAGUUCACUCUUGUCGAUGCCGCAGUGUGAGAAGAGUGCCC